CUUUCUGGCAGUAGGACUAGUGUCCUUAUGAGAAGAGGAGGAGAUUAUCGGGAUACACGUGCACAGAGGAAAGGCCAUGUGAGAACACAGCAAGAAGGCAGCCAUCUGUAAGCCAAGCAGAGAGGCCUCAGGAGAAAUCAACUCUGCCACCCCCUUGAUCUUGGACUUGCAGCCUGCAGAACUAGCACAGGUUCCGGACGCGCAGGCCCAGCGGCCAUGGCUCACGGGCCCAGCCACUCCGCGGCAUGUGGGAUCUUCCUGGACCAGGGCACAAACCCGUGUCCCCUGCAUCGGCAGGUAGCGAGGUGAAGCAGAAUCGGCACAGUCUCUCAGUGUCAUAACCGGACAUGGGGUUGACCAUUGUACCACCAACCAUAAUCACCUACAGGGCACUUUCAGGGCCCUCUGUGCGAUGAACUGGACCUGGCAGCACUGGCUGUUGCACGAUUGGGACUGAUGCCAUGAAAACAACUGCCAACAAAUCACAGCAAAAAUACAAACAGCCCAAUCGAAAAAUGGACAGAAGAUCUUAAUAGACAUUUCUCCAAGGAAGACAUACAGAUGGCCAGUAGGCACAUGAAAAGAUGCUCAACAUCACUAAUCAUUAGAGAAUUGCAAAUCAAAACUACAAUGAGGUAUCACCUCACACCAGUCAGAAUGAUCAUCAUUAAAAAUUCUGUGAAUAACAAAUGCUGGAGAGGGUGUGGAGAAAAAGGAAAACUCCUACACUGUCGGUGGGGAUGUAAAUUGGUGCAGCCCCUAUGGAGAACAGUAUGGAGCUUCCUUAAGAAACUAAAACUAGAGCUACCAUACGACCCAGCAAUCCCACUCCUGGGCAUAUAUCUGGAGAAAACCACACUUGGAAAGGAUGCAUGCACCCCAACGUUCAUUGCAGCACUAUUCAUGAUAGCCAAAACAUGGAAGCAACUGAAAUGUCCAUCGACAGAGGAAUGGAGAUGCGGUACAUAUAUACAAUGGAAUACUACUCAGCCAUAACAAAGAAAAUAAGGCCAUUUGCAGCAACACAGAUGCAACUAGAGAUGAUCAUCCUACCUGAAUAACUCAGAAGAGAAAGACAAAUACCAUAUGAUAUCACUUAUAUAUGGAAUCUAAAAUAUGGCACAAGUGAACCUAUCUAAAACACAGAAACAGAUUCAUGGACAUAGAGAACAGACUUCUGGUUGCCAAGGAGGAGGAGGUUGGGGGAGGGAUAGAGUGGGGGGCUAGGGUUAGCAGAUGUAAGCUAUCAUUUAUAGAAUGGAUAAACAACAAGGUCCUACUGUUGGACCCAAGCCCAGGGAACUAUGUUCAGUAUCCUACAAUAAACCAUAAUGGAAAAGUUUUUUUUAAUAAAAACAAUGUAUUAUAUAUAUAUAUAUAAUUGAAUUACUUUGCUGUACAGCAGAAAUUAACAUUAUAAAUCAACUAUACUUCAAUUAAAAAAAGUUAAAAAAUGAAGUCUCUCUCAAUGGCUAAGGAGUGUUCUGUACAUCAGCGGUCCCCAAACUUUUUGGCACCAGGGGACCAGUUUCGUGGAAGACAGUGUUUCCACAGAUGUGGGGGACGAUUCGGGCAGUAAUGCGAGCGACGGGAAGCAGCAGAUGAAGCUUCGAUUGCUCAUCUGCCGCUCACCUCCUACUGUGCGGCCUGGUUCCUAACAGGCUGCAGACCAGUAUCGGUCCAUGGCCCCGGGGGUUGGGGACCCCUGCUGUACAUGGACAUCUAUUCAGGACUCAGGUUCAGAUUGUGUUAGUUGGGGCACCCUAACAUAUUGUAGCUGAGUUUAGGCCUCAGAUCCCCAAAGACAGUGGCACACAGCCUGCAGGGACAAAGAAAUUUUGCAGGGACUCUUAGGUUUAGAUGUGAGUGGCAGCCUCAAUCUCUGCCUUUACAUAUAUGGGAUACUUAUAUAAGUUUUUGACAUUUGUGUUCUCAGUGACAUUUAAGCUUGUUGCACGUUGGAUGCUCUAGCAAUGCAUACAUUCUGAGUUCUAGUUUGAAAUAUAUGCAAAAGUUCAAUUGGAUUAAAAAUUAUUUUCUCCUCAGAAAUGCCAACAUUGGUUGCAUUUGUCAGUGAAAGACAUGAUGAUUUCUUCAAAGGUAAUUAGUUUAUACAUGAAAGUUAACUCAGUUUUUCACUGGAUAUUUGAAAAGAUUUUAUUUGCCAGUGUGAUAAAAUUUUCAACAUUUAGUAUUUCCUCUAAUGCUCUGUGUGUUUGUAAUUAUAAAAUGUCAAGAAAAUGUAAUACUUUUUGCCCCCAAAGGUAUUUAUAGACACUCUUAAAUCCCUUCCAGUUUCCUCCAGUGAGCCAUACAAAUCCUGUCAUUUUCUCUGUAUGCUGUGACAAGAAAAGCAUGGGGAAGCCCUGCAGCAAGGCAUAUUGGUUACUGGUCUUUUUAUAGGCAGCGGCUACCGGUAACUUAAGGACCAAGGGUGUGUAUCUUCCUCCCUUCACUAACGAAUUAAAGGUUCCUCCUCUCGUGAGAAAUUAUAAAACAUAAAGGAAUCAAUCAACCCUGGCCUGUACUCUAUAACAAACUAUAUGUGGUUCAUAAAAUAAUUAUUUAGCAACUGCAACUAUAAGUGAUUUGCAGGCAUUACUAUCCAGUAUUAUCUACCAGCUGCCCCUCCCAGGACCCUGGCCCCAGGCACAGACUAAUGCAUUUCUCUGUUACACAGUCCUUCAACAGCCUCUAACCUGUCUUGUUUACUCUUCCGUUCCAUGCUCAUGCCUCCCCUCUUUGAUCUCGUACUGAGGGCGGAAAGUCUCCAGAUACUCUUUUCAAAUGCUUUAAAAUAAUUUUAAAAUAAACUUUCUUAAUUUAUACAAAAUACAGAACCGUGAAUGAAAGCUAUUUGUAAAAACAAUAAGCAAAAAUGUAUAGAAGAGAACUCAUUUUUCCUAAAGUCCUCCCUAAUCUCACACUCCUUGCCCCAGCAACCUUUCUCUCCCUCUCUCUGUCUCUGUCUCAUAAUAUAUAGAACUUCACCUCAGCUGCUCAGAUUUCAUCAGCUGCAACUUAUUGACCAGUGGAUUUAUUGACCACCCCACCUGGUGCCAGAAAGAUUUGAAAUCACUUUUAAAAUAGACACUGCAGGAGUAAUUCAUGUGUUUCCCUGAGUUCUAUACUUAGCUCAUUCAAUAGACUUAAAAAAAUCCUAUACCAAUUUCAAGGGACUAUUGGUGGGGGAGACAAAUUCUCUGUCUGGAGGUUGGGGGUAGAGCAUUGUUCCUGGAACACUUUAACCAGAAGGUUGGACUACUAUAUCACAUGGACUGGAAGGCUGAGAGCCUUUCACUAUUUCUCUGGGGACUCGAUGGGUGUAGAGUCAGAUUGCUUUCAUUUCUAUCCUCCUCCACCGCCACCACCCUCAUCCAAACCACCAUCAUCUCUCACUUGGGCACUUCAAUGUUUACCUAGCUGGUUUUGCUUCAGUGCUUUCUCACAGAUCAUUUGUUCCUCCUAGAAUAGCUAGUUAUAACAUGUUGCUCUUUUCCUUACUCUGACUCACAGCCUUACAUCAUCUGCCCCCAUCAUCUUCUAUUCUCUUCCCUGCUCUCUGUGGUCCAGCCACAUUGUAUUUCUUGCAUUUCAUCAACUACUCUUAGCCCUUCACAUACUUGGGACCUUUGUUUUUAUUAUUCUUCCUUUCUAUCUUAUCUUUCCCAUCUACCCUGCUCUUUACUAGUCUAGCUUUUUCAUACUGAUCCUAUCCCGGCUCAAACAGCAUUUCAUCUGUGAGCCUUUCCUGACAAUCCCCCCUCAAUAGCAUCCGUAUUCAAAAUCUUCCCAGCCUUCUGUUUAUAUUCUUUAUAGCACUGUCACCAUUUGUAUUUCUUUAUAUCAUUGUGGCCACUUAUGUGCAUCUCCUGUAAGAUAAGAAUGCUAGCUCUCUUAUUUCAUCACUGCGUUUAACGCUAGAGCAAGGAGUAACACUGAUUGAUCACAAAUGAAAAAAAAUAUUCUUACAAAAGAAUUACAGUGGGUUACAUAAGAACUUAGAUCCAAGAACCAAUAAGGAAAUAAUUUUCUAUUUCAGCCAUAUCAGUUAUUAUCAAGUAUAAAGGGUCCAAGUAUGACUGAAGAUCUCUCUUUGGCAACUGUCUGCUUCAUCUGCUGCUUCCUCCUGUCCACCUCCCAGGCAUCAGGGUAUUUUUGCAUCAGUGGAAAAAUCUAGCUUGGCAGUACUUCAGCCAAAUCUUUGCUGUAACAUAUCUGAUGGUCCAGGGUUUUUUUGUUCUUUUCCCUGGGACUUUUUUACGUAGAAUAAAAAUGUCCGUUUAAUCAGUACCCAUGAUCUUCAGCAAGGGGGCAAGAGGAAAACAAUCUGAUUAUAGCGGCAUGCAAAUGACCGCCAGACUUCCCACUUUAUGGGCAUUUCACAUUUUGCAAAAGAAACUUAUCGAUACGUAUAUUUUCCCUCAUAAGAAGAAUAUUUGGAGGGAUAAUCUGUAGUACCCCGGACUCCCACAUGUCUGAGUUUUGGGCUAGAAGAAAGGAUUUAGGGACUUGACAUCUUCCAUGUGAAAGAUUGCCAAGAUCUUGCUUAAAGCAUACCAACCUACAUGAAUCCCUAAUGAAAGUAUCAUGCAAGAUUUCACUCUUUCUUUUAUAUUACUCAGGCAUGCCUUACCUAUCUUCCCUUUCUGUAAGUAUUAUGUUGGUAAGUUUGCUUUGUAAAACACAUAUACUAUAUUAAAUAAUCUGUCAACUGAAAGCAAUAUUGGACAUGUAUUACCAUUUUGUUCACAUGCAUUAUACUUUUGCAACCUUGGCCUAUUUGUAUCAAGAUUCCACUGGCAGUGUUUUGCUUUUGAUCUGUGAGCUAUUAAAAGCCCUGUUACUGCAGAUGAAAGGAGUUAGAAAGUUCUAUAUCAUAAUGCAGUGCGAUCAGUAAUGCACAGAGCAGGUAAUUUGCAAUGACUUGCCAAGCCUUUGAUUACACCAGGUUUAUGGCUAUUAGCAGUUUCCCCUUUCAAAUUUGUAUGGUUCCAUACUUCCUUUUUGACCUCUUUUUCAUCAUUUAUGGUCCAGUUUGGUAGUGAAAGAACAUAACUUCUUGCUUAGUGCAUGGCUGUCAUUCAAACCCCAGUGACUUACUGAGCACUUUGACAUUUGUGAUGAUGAAAAAAACAUUAAGCAGGUGUACAGAACACUAACCAGGUUCCUGCAACAAUGCUUUAUGGGAUUCACAAUGUACCUCUGGGCUAUAAGCUGAUUCAGGCUUGAUUUUCUCUAUCAAUUUAAUCUCAGUGUUCAAACUGCCAUUCAGAGAAGGAGGCAUAGUUUUCACUAAAAUUGAAGUUAAAUAAAAUUCCCAAUAAUAGUGUUAAUAUAGGACCUCAUAAGAACAAUUGGAAGGGCAGUGAUUGCCUACCACUAAAAUCAUAUUAAAGUAGGGCUCACAUGUCUACUUUGAAGUCAUGCAAUUAGGAGUACUACAUGAUACUGGACUAUAUAAAAUUUAAGCCCUAUAAAAUGUCUUUAGCAAUGAAAACUUACAGCUCAAUGGCACGCUUUAGCCCCUUAGCUGUCUGAAUUGCAUGUAUACCAUGUGAAGGAAACACCACGUUAUUCUGUGGAGGUUUUUCUUUGCACAUUUAAAAUUGGUCAUCUGUUGUACAGGUGUGCAGCACAUCCUGGUGUGGGUUAGUCUGCCCUCAGGUGCAGUCUGUCUGGGAGAUGUGGAAACCUCCAAAACUCAACACAGUCCAGGUCCCCAAUUAGUGUGUUUGGGGAAGUGUUCAAAGUCAGAACCCCUGAGCACAGGGAUUUUCCCAACUCAGUACUAGUUAGACAUCUCAGAAUCUACCAUUCAGGCCCAGAACCAUUUUCAGUGUAAAGUGGCAAAAAUGUCACAUGCACGUACAGGCUCACACAUACCUAACAACGAAAGAAAUGUUGUUGUCAGGAUCAUCCACUUCCUAUCAUCAUUCCAGUAUGAAAAGAAAAUACCUUUUCCAAUAAUAUGGAACAGACAAGCAUUGCACUUUGACCUUCUGGACGUUUAUCAUAUUUAGCAAAUUAUGUGAAAAAUCCUAAAUCUAGAAUAGAAAAUUUUGAGUAGUUUUACAUUUGGAAGUGGUGGCUUCUAACAGAGAGCAUAAAAGUUACGUCCAUUUAUAUCUAAGGCAGAAAUACCCUGAAAGAGUAAUUAUAAGCAACUUGGGAAGACAGAGCUGCAGACUCAUGCGUGCUUAUCAAUGAAGAAGGCUAUUCACAUAAAGUAAAUGCAUUUGAAGAUCAAAGGCUAUAAGGGCAAUCGGUGCAUGGGUGGUGACUCAUGUAUACUGAGCAUUUUGCACAGAAAACUCAGUGUCCCUUUCAGCCACAGCUGGGCAUGUGGAGAGCAGCAACAUUAGUUGCUUCUUUGAAUAUAAAGUAGUCAUAGCUAUACUAUUCCAUGCUUGCCUAGCAAAAAUACAGUGAUAUCGACAGCUUCCCUUGUCCUUACCAUCUAGCUUUUGUAACAUUUUCAUCUUCUUUCUAUACACAUCAAUUUCAUAUCCAAUACAAUGACCAUGACUGCUCAUCAUACACCUUCCUCCCAGCCAAAUGUAUUUGUCAGAGGGUAGUGACGUAAACGGGACUAAGACGGGAAGUUCAAUUAAAAAACAAAGCAAUGCUGAUGCUUUAUGAGUUUUACAGAGAUGGCAAGAAAUUUUAUAUCUGCUGUGUCCCUCAGGCUGGUUGUAAUUUCAGUGCAGAGUGGAAAUGGUCCUGAGAAAUUAUUGAUCUUGACUUUUACCAGGCCUGCAGUAAAGCAAAGGUAACAAAUAAUGUCAUGCUUGAAGUUGGUGAAAAAAUAUUUGCAGUCAUGGUUGUAAGUUGGGGCCAAACUCAGGAGCACUGAACCCAAACCCAAAAGCACACUACCUUGUCUUUUGCCAGUCUCAUGUAAUAUUUUUAUCUGUUUAGUUUCACUGAUGAGACUUUUAGGUUAGUUAACCAGUACUUCCUGCUAACCUGUCUUGAUGUUUUAUCAGGUCUUACCUAAAAUCACGUGCUUGUUUUGAGUCCAUGUGCUGACAACUACUUAAAUGCAUCACUCCUUAUUUAUUGCAAACUUUGCCUGUGCUUUCAUCUUUUCAAAGAUUUUGCAUGAUCCUUUGGUGUAGGUUAUUUAGAAAAAUGAAUGAAUUGAUGCUAGAAAAAAUAUAAGCGUCCCAUAAAAAAGUGCAAAUAGAAACCAAACGGAGGAGAAUUGGCAAAAAAUAGUUUACUUAUAUGUAGAAAACUAGUGCAUUUUAUUUCUUUAACAGUUCAUUCAACUGUGGCUACAAUUACGUAUUUGCAUUAUAACAUGAGCUCUGAAAGAAUUUGUACCUAAAGUGGGAAUACCAAAGAAAGUCGUUUCAGUUUAUGAAAUUACACUUUGUACGUUUAUUUGUUCUCUCUCAACUUGAAACCCACAAGUUUUUAUUAAGGCCAUGGUUCAUAUUUCAAAUAGCAAGAAAUCUUCACGUCUCCCUUUUCUUCCCCCUCAAAAAUAAAUCUACAAAGCACCUGGAUUUAGAAGAACAACAUAGAUCUAUUGCCAUUAACUCUGAAAACUAGCAAGCACUUGCAUAAUAAAAAUAAACAGUGUGUAUCAUAAUCGAUGAGGAGGCAACAUCCCACAUUGUUUAUUGAUUCAUAAGGUUAAGAUUAAAGUGGGAUUCUUGCCUGUGUUUAUCAACAGGUUUUUUUUUUUCUUUUUUUAAGCAAUAAGUGAACCUGGAAUCCCACAAACCAAUCAAUAAAGUUUAAAAGCUUCAGUGAAUCUAACCCAUAACAGGUCCUUGUUUGGAGAACAUGCUCAAGAAACACAUGUGCCUUUAAGAGGUCUUGAAAGACUUUACACCCAUGGACCAUUACCAUUUCCAAACACCCUGCAGCAUUACCAGCCCAACAUAUGCUGACUGUAUAUCACCGUGACCCUCUCACUGAAGCUCUUUUGACUGGAGUGCUUUUAAUACCCACUUUCUCAGCUGAGCUCAGGAGUGAUUUGUUUUACAUGCCACAUUAAUCCUUUCCACAUUUUCUGGAUGAGGCAACCACAAUUCCACUUGUGAGGUGUUUCUAAAACACAGUUAUAGGAAUAAAGCAGCAGGGUCCCAGACUUGACAACUUCCCUCUAGGCAGCUGACAAAGUGGGCUAUCGUGCCUCGGUUUAACUCUCGGUUUAAUGAACAUUUGUGCCCAGACACUAGGGUGGGCCAGCCUUCCAGGCCAGUAGGAAGCCCCAUUUAUUGAAGGCAAUUUACUCUCAAUUAAAACACUGUAGGAAUCUUCAUAGAUGUAACGCUUUCUUGAUGCUACGCAUAUUAGUAGAAUUAAAGUCAAGAAUAAAUGGAAAAGAGCAGUAGAACUGAAACUAUAUAAAACACAUCUCAGUAAAACCAAAGAGAGUUUAUACAUCACACCCUCAUAAUUGUAGGAAGAGAGCUUUAUUUAUUUAUGUAUUUUUUAAUAAAUGGGCAAUUAGUGUUCAAAGCACAGGCUUUUAUUAUGUGGUAAUUUUACAGUUUUAACUUUAAAGGCAACUUAUCCACCCCUACUCCCCAAAUAUAUUCCAAGACCAGUGAACUUCUGUCGCAUGCAUUUAUGAACUUUUCUACAUUUUUAAUGUUCACUGAAUGUAAGUAAUGUAGAUUUUUGAAAUUUCAGGUUGUCAACAAGGCUAACUGAUUGAACCAACCAAUUGUUAAAAAAAAAUGUUUUUACAUGUCAGCACUUGGCUGAUUUUAUUAACUUGUUAGUAUUAUGCUCCCAAUUUUAUGUGUUAAAAUCUAACUGUACAAGCAACUUGAGGCCUAAAAUUAUGCCUUUAUCCAGUCCUAAUUUAUUGUUCUUCCCUCAUAAAUUUUAUUUGCAGCUUCAAUGGUCUGAAAAAAGCAAUAAAUCAUAGUGAGGUGAGUUUUACGUAGUUUAGAUUGAGUUCCUUAUUUUCACUUGAAAUUAAUCUAAUCCAUUCCUUCUGGUGUCAUUGUCAUGUGGCUAAUAGUAUGUCUCAAAGCAAGAGAUCAUUUGAGUCAAAGAGAUCUUUUUUUCUAAGCUACAGGAUAUCAGUUACACAUACUCAGGUGAUAAAUCUUUUACAUAAAUUAUAGGGAAACUGAUGUAACGUUUACAAAAUAUUUAGAGUUCUGUAAGUGAAAAAAUACUCCCCUAUUUAUUUCUUGUCCCAGGUUGCUUCCCUUAGGUAAUCAGGAGUGUGAUUCUAGUUUUUCUGAAGAAGCCUUUUGGAGGCGUGAUGUACUGCAGUUUCCCUACCACUGUUGAAGCCCUGGUUGCUAAACUAUGCCUGGCAUAGCAUAGGUGCUCAUUAAAUAUCUGUAAAAUGGAUGAUGGAUUCAAACAUGGACCCCUUCACAUUCUAAACAACAAUCUAGUUUAUAAUAAUAAUAAUAAAAAACAACAUUUUAGCAAUGCCUACCAAAAAAAGUUAGCUAUUUCCUAGUGAUGUUUAAAACAAAAAAAAAAUCUGAUCACGUGAGGGAAAAAAAAGCCAUUGAAAUCUCAUUCUCCCUUUUUCUCUCUACACACAUACCCACACGGACACACCUACACCACACUAAGCAGAGAUUCUACUUUAAAAAUAAUUAAUGUAGGUGCUUCCCUGCUGGCGCAGUGGUUGAAAGUCCGCCUGCCCCAUGCAGGCGAUGCGGGUUCGUGCCCUGGUCCGGGAGGAUCCCACAUGCCGCGGAGCGGCUGGGCCCGUGAGCCAUGGCCGCUGAGCCUGCGCGUCCGGAGCCUGUGCUCCGCAACGGGAGAGGCCGCAACAGUGAGAGGCCCGCGUACAGCAAAAAAAAAAAAAAAAAAAAAAAAAAUUAAUGUAUACUCAAAUGUAGAAAGCAGAAUUAAUACUUAGCAGAUCAUCUGAUACAUUUUUAGAACUUUGAAAAGUUGAGUUUAAAUGAAUUUGUCAACAGUUGAUGGAGAACUGUGAAUUGUUUCAUCUGUGUUUUAAAAUUGAUUUUAAAAAAUGACUUUUAGCUUUUGGAACACUUGUCUCAACAUCUAGAAUCAUCUCAAAAUGAGAGGAUACUUUCAAGAAAAAAGAAAUGCCUGAGUGUAAAGUACUGUCUUAAACUUUAUUCCAAAUGCUCUGCUUUCAGUUUCUUUAAAGAAAACUUUCUAGAUUACUUUCUUUCUCUAAACUGAUAUUUCUUUAACAAGAUCUAGAAUUCCUUGGCUAGCUUAGAAUCAUAAAAGCACUGGUUUUUACCCUGCUUGGACAUUUGCUCAGUUGAGUUUGGGUUCAUAUUUAGUUAUAUCCACUAAAAUUGCCCAUUCUUCUUUUGCCAUUGGGCAUUUUUUCAAUCUUAACAAAACCAAGUCCAUAUUAUAGGCCUGCUGGCCAACAUUCCAGGUAAAUGAACGGUUUUAAAGAAAAAUGGUGCUAUUUUUCAAAAGCCUGACAUUUAAAAAAAUACAAGUCCAGAACUGAAGCCUUCAAUAAUUUUUCCAUGCCUAUAUGCUACAAGAAGCAAAUGGUUACACAAACGAAUACAUCUGGGAUUAUUUUCAAGCUGUUAUUCCCCACCAGGGAAAAUAUUUAGAAAUAAGGCUCAGUCUUUGUGCUGGAACUACAAAGAGGCCAGCCAUCUUGAUGCUUUUCCAGAUUGUUUAAUGAUUUUCCUCAUAUUGUGUGGUGGCUUUAUUGCCCUGUUUCGUAUGCCUUCCCAUUCACUGUUGGUAACCAUUUAUGUUGGGUAUGUUCCAAUUUCCAAAUCUGUUUUGUGGCAUUUAUAGCUCGCAGCUAAUAAGGCCAUUCAUUAUUUUUAUAUAUAUAAAAUAUUAAAAAAUAUACUUUACCAUGGAAAGUUAGAGGAAAUGAUUCAAAAUUUAGAAACAGCCUUAUUAAAGGAUGGAGUAAAUUUUCCUUUAAACUGUUAAGUGAGGGUGACUGUGGUUCAGAGGUGCCUGCUUCUAGAGUCCAGGAAAUGCAGUAUUAGGGGUGUGUGUGUGUUAUAUGUAUACGUAGGUAUUAUAUGUAUACAUACAUAUGUAACGCAGCAAGCAUAUGUGUAUUAUAUAUAUAUAGAACUAUAAGUGCAAAAGGCAUGGUAAUUCAUUUAUGUUACUUUGCAAACUCUGACUUUAUAAGAUAGAGCCUCCAACAAAUAUGCAUAUGUAUAUCCUGGUGUUAUUUUCAUUCAGCUUGGAUUUUAGAGUUUGAGUUUUUAGAGUUUUGCCUUCCUAUGAUGCCCUAUAAAAUGAAAAUUAUUGAGUUUGUUAGAUGCAUAAAUACUAUAUGUCUAAGAAACUGAAAUUUCCAGAAUUAACUCCAAAUUAAAGCAAAAAAAUGAAUAUUAUCAUUAAGGUAGUUUUUUACUCAACAUACAUCUAAGGAGAUCAUGUUAAUCAUGCUUUUAUUCUACUUUUUCAGUUCUAUGUAAGUUAGAUAUUGAAGACAUAUUUCCUAACUUCAAAUAUAUUAGAUUGAGUUCAUAAGUUACUUUGAUUUCUUGUAUUUAGAAUGCAUGUUACUAAACUAAAAAUUUUCAUAUUUAUUAUCACACAUUAGAAGUGAUUUGAGAUUUUAAUCAUGACCAAAGUCUGAAAUAAGAUAAAAUCCUCUGAAAACAUAGUCUUUUUUAAUAUUGCCUUUGUGAAUUUCAAUUUCAGUGUCAUAAUAUCUUAUGGGAAUAAAGUUUUUUGCAGGAGAAUAUAGCCUCUAAUUGUUUGAGUGUACAAGUCAUGCAGAAGAUGGGUUGGUUAAUAAUGAUAUAGUUCAUCCAUUUCCACAUUCAGAAUUCUGUGAAAGAGGAAAGUCUCAAAGGUAACCCACAGAGGUAAGGCUAAAAGACCUUGUUAUUGUGAAAGAUUUUUAUGCGAUUGAAUGAGAAAACAAUACCAAGUUUUAGAUAUGAACAUUGUAGUGCAUAGGUCUACAGAAAGAGAAGCUAAUUUCUAUGAGAAUAAUUUGCAGGUCUUCCUACCCUUGAACAUCACCUGAGUGAGUGGUGUGCAGUGUGCCAAGAGGCAGUAUCUGAGCUCUUGGAUAUUUAUAUUUUAACAAGAGUGACAUCAAAUUGAUAGGUCUUUACAUGCAUCAGAUUAAUUUUAACUUGCUUUUUUGCAAAGAAGACAACUUAUUUAAUUUCACCAAGUUAUGCUUCAUGUUAAUAUAUUUGUGUGGACAUCUAAAAACUUAGGUGGUUUUGAAUUAAUAAUGUUAUUAUUUUUCUGAUAUUGAAAGUAUUAAAUCAUCUUCUAAAUCAUCACCAAUAUGAGAGGAGAAAUUAGAGAAUCCCCUUAAUCUUACCCUUCAACUAUAACAAAGAUUACAUAUGUGUAUUUAUAUAUAGCAUAUAUGUUAACAGAUUCAUGUAUAUUAUUUCUAAUUUUGCACAUGUAUACACCAACAGUGUAUACAAUAAUGGUUCAUAUUAUUAUGUAAAUUACAGAAACCAGAUAGAAUUUAGUUUAGUUAGAAACGGGUCCUGUCCUGCAGCUUUUUACAUGGGCCACUUCCUCUGCCGAUACACAGAGAUAUGCUCCAGUGUUUUUAAUAUUGCACUGUAUUCUCUUAAUAUUGGGUUGGCCAAAAAGUUUGUUUGGUUAAUGAAUACAUUGUUCAAUAAAAUUCUUGGUGAAAAUGAAACAUGUGUCUUUUUACUUAAAACUGAAUAAGUUAUUUAACCUAUUCCUUAUUGAUAAAAUAUUUAAGUUGUUUCCAAAUUCUAGCUAUUAGAAACAAUUCUUCAUUGAGCAUUCUCUCAUAAACAGUUUUGCAUACUUAGGUUUACACAGCUAUUGUGUAAUUUUUGAAAAUAUCAUUAUUGGCUCAAUGUGUAUGCACAUUAUUCAAUUUAUUGAUGCUAACAAAUGCUUUCUAAAAACUGUAAUAAUUUGCAUUGCCAACAAAAUUGUCAAAAUAAAAAAUGCCUGUUUUAUUACUCCUAUACAAACAUGAAUUUUAUCACAAUUUCUCUCUUUUCCCUUUACCUUUUUAAAAUAAUACAAAGUAUACAGGCUAAUCUAAAAAACGUCUAGCAAUAUAGAACUGUAUAUAAUAAGAUUAAAAGGCAAUUUUUAUUUUCUCUUUCGUCUCCUUCCCUCACUCACACAGCUCUCUCUCUGCCCUCUCCACUGCCACCAUCUCUGUGCAUUUCCAAAAAUCUCUAUUUGGGCAUGUGUUCUUAAUGUACAUACUACUUGUCAGUCAUAAAUACGAUCUGGGCUUCCCUGGUGGUGCAGUGGUUGAGAGUCUGCCUGCCAAUGCAGGGGACACAGGUUCGAGCCCUGGUCUGGGAAGAUCUCACAUGCCGUGGAGCAACUGGGCCCGUGAGCCACAACUACUGAGCCUGCGCGUCUGGAGCCCGUGCUCCGCAACAAGAGAGGCCGUGACAGUGAAAGGCCCGCACACCGCGAUGAAGAAUGGCCCCCACUCGCCACAACUAGAGAAAGCCCUCGCACAGAAACGAAGACCCAACACAGCCAUAAAUAAAUUAAUUAAUUAAUUAAAAAAAAAAUACGAUCUUAUUUGAUAUUUUAUUCUACAGCAUCCUUUUCACUAAAAAAUGUUUCACAAAUAACUUUCUAUUUUAUUUUUAACGGCUGUAUAUUAUUAUGUAGUCCGUAUGCUAAUUUACUGAAUCCUUCUCCUAUUGAACAGUGUUUCUCCAGGUUUUCCCUAUUACAAAAAUUACUUUAUAUUAACUUCAUACUGAAAUCUUUACCGCUUGUGUAUUUGUGAAGAAGAGACAUAUAGAAUUGGAAAUAUGGAGUCAAACAAUAUGCACAACUGAAAUUCUGGUAAAUACUGCCAAGUUACCUUAUUAAUCAUUUAAAAAUAUUUGCUAACCCUAUGGCCAUAAUAUUUCAUUGUUUGUAUUCGUAAAUUUUUUGUCUUGUUGAGAUGAAGAACUUGACCAUAUGUUUUUAGGUUAUUGAAUGUAUUUGAAAUGCCAGUCCAGGCAAUUUGCUAAAUUUUCAUUUGUGUUGUUCUUUGCUUACAUUAUAAUUUAUAGGACUUUUUUCUCUGUUGUAAUUAUUACCCAUUUGUCUAUUAUAUUUUUGUCUUUCCACCCAGUUAAUGAUUUUCCUUUUUUUCUUAUUUUUAAUUUUUAUGUUUUAAAAUUUAUUUUUUCCUUCAUGGUUUUUGAAUUUUGCAACAUAUUUAGAAAAGCUUCUGUACCCCAAAGAUGAAAGAUAUUUGAAAAUGAUUUCUUGUGUUUGUUGCCUUUUACAUUAUAAUGCUUUGAAGUCCAUUUGGGAGUUAUUUUGAUGAAAGUGAAGUCAUUGUCAAGGUUUAUUUUCCGGAGUUUUUUUUUUUUUCUCCAAAUUAUAAGUCAGGUGGCCCAAUACCACUUGAUUAAUCAUCUAGACUAUGUGGAAAUGCCAGUUUUUACAUAUAUUAUUUUCCCAUGCAUAUUUGCAUCUGUUUUUUAGAUUCUCUAUUCUGUGCCAUUGAUAUGUUUGUUUCUCCAUCAGUACUGAAUGUUUCCAAUCACUUUAACUUUAUAAUGACAUUUAAUGCUAUGUAAGACUAGGUCACCCUCAUUGCUUAUAUUUCAAAGAAUUUUCUCAGCUUUAUCAUUUGAUAUGAGACCAAAGAGAAACAAAUGUCUAUUUUCAUUGGGAAUGCCUUGAAUUUUCACAGUAAUUUAGGAAGGAUUGAUAUUUUAAAAUAUUUUUAAAUUUUACUCUCCAGUAAUACAAUAUAUAUCUCAAUAAAGAUCUUUUUAAUGUCCCUUAA